rnacentral:rRNA from 1 species
AAAGCGCGCGUAGGUGGUUUGUUAAGUCGAAUGUGAAAUCCCCGGGCUCAACCUGGGAACUGCAUCCGAAACUGGCAAGCUAGAGUAUGGUAGAGGGUGGUGGAAUUUCCUGUGUAGCGGUGAAAUGCGUAGAUAUAGGAAGGAACACCAGUGGCGAAGGCGACCACCUGGACUGAUACUGACACUGAGGUGCGAAAGCGUGGGGAGCAAACAGGAUUAGAUACCCCUGU